UUAAAUUAACUAUUAUUUUUAUGGAAUAAAGAGUUAUUUGUUGAUAUUUAUAUUUUAGAAAAUGUCAUUUCAUAAGAAAAAAACGUCAUUUCAUUGUUUAUAAAAAUCAUACUAAUUUUUUUUACAUUUUAUUGUAAAAAAUAAUCAAAAUUCUCUAUUAUGAGUACUAAAAACUCAGAAAAAUUAAAUUUUAUUUCGUAGACGUUUUUGGUUAAUAAGAUUUAAUUAUUAUAAUUAUAGGUGAUGGAAAACAAUUUUUCUCUUCAAAAAAUAACACAUUUAACUAUUAAUUUGUUGAUUGGGUGUACCAAUACACUCAAAUUUUUGAGUGUACCAUAGAAUUUGCCAUA
rnacentral:lncRNA from 1 species